ACUUGGAUAUCUUAAUUAUAAAGUUUAACUCUGAAGUAGUUAAUAUAGGUUUUAUGCCUUCCAGGUA
rnacentral:tRNA from 1 species